rnacentral:misc_RNA from 1 species
GAUGAAGAACGUAGCGAAAUGCGAUAAGUAGUGUGAAUUGCAGAAUUCCGUGAAUCAUCGAAUCUUUGAACGCACAUUGCGCCUUCUGGUAUUCCGGAAGGCAUGCCUGUUCGAGAGUCAUUAACAACCGUUUCGAUCCCUUUCUUUCAGAAAUUACAAAGAGGAAAAGGGUUUGGUUAUGGUGGAGGAGGGUAAGGGAGCGUUUAGCCUGUAAAAAAAGAGGCUGUGUUCCGCCUCCCCCCCAAAAUUGUACAGGCGGUCGUGUGCGCCCACGCAUCGAGGUGUUGUAAAAGCUGCCACGGCACUUUUCACCUGUGCAGUGCGAGAUUGGCCAGCCGGUUUAAAAACCCCUCCAAACAAUCAAAGGUUGACCUCGGAUCAGGUAGGGAUACCCGCUGAACUUAAGCAUAUCAAUAAGCGGAGGA